UGAUGUGGUGCAUGCUUUCCUUCCUUCCCCUUCUCCCUUUUUAUAGGCAGAGGUCACUACAGAGUCAACCAUCGUGGUUUCUGACAAGCCUUUUCCAGCUCUGCAGUCCAGAGAUCCUGAACACGAUCAUCUUCUCUAUCCAAAAGAUGGAGCAUCAGGGUAGAAGGAGAAAUUCUUAGAGGAAGCAGGAAAGAGGAGUCCGAGUUGACCACUGGAUGUUUUUUUCUCCUAAUAAUGGUGCCCAAACUUCUUUUUCACCAUGGCUGAGUGGCCAUCCGCAAAAUCUCCAACCUAAGAGACGGUUUCAUCUACUUCCAGGCAAAACUGACAAUGUGAAAAUACUGGAGUCACUG
rnacentral:lncRNA from 1 species